rnacentral:rRNA from 1 species
GAUGAACGCUAGCGGCAGGCUUAACACAUGCAAGUCGAGGGGUAGGGUAGCAAUACCUGAGACCGGCGCACGGGUGCGUAACGCGUAUGCAACCUACCUUUUACAGGGGGAUAGCCCAGAGAAAUUUGGAUUAAUACCCCAUGGUAUAAUUUGAUGGCAUCAUUAGAUUAUUAAAGUUCCAACGGUAAAAGAUGGGCAUGCGUCCUAUUAGCUAGAUGGUAAGGUAACGGCUUACCAUGGCUACGAUAGGUAGGGGUCCUGAGAGGGAGAUCCCCCACACUGGUACUGGGACACGGACCAGACUCCGACGGGAGGCAGCAGUGAGGAAUAUUGGACAAUGGGCGCAAGCCUGAUCCAGCCAUGCCGCGUGCAGGAAGAAGCAUCUAUGGUGUGUAAACUGCUUUUGUACGGGAAGAAAAGAAUCUUUGCGAAGAUAGUUGACGGUACCAGCAGAAUAAGCCACGGCUAACUACGUGCCAGCAGCCGCGGUAACAC